UGUAGACCGCUUGACCAAAUCAGCUCACUUCUUACCUGUAAAGACUACAUACUCUGUGGCACAGUAUGCCCGGCUCUACAUUCGAGAAAUAGUCAGAUUGCAUGGAGUUCCGGCUUCCAUAAUAUCUGACAGAUGGCCCCAGUUCACUCUUCUCGGUUUUGGAGAAAGUUGCAGGAGGCACUUGGCACACAGUUGAACUUCAGUACGGCUUUCCACCCUCAGACAGACGGACAGUCCGAAAGGACGAUCCAAACACUGGAAGACAUGCUUCGCAUGAGUGUUUUGGAUUUUGGGAGGUCAAUGGGAUGAGCAGCUAGCUUUAGUGGAGUUUGCCUACAACAACAGUUAUCACUCCAGCAUAGGAAUGGCACCCUAUGAGGCACUAUAUGGAAG
rnacentral:misc_RNA from 1 species